AAAAAACACGUCUUGAAUACUCAGCUGUAUUCCUCUGGCUAAAGACCAUUUGAAUGGCUUAUUGUGCGAAAAACGAAAUUUUUCGUGCACCUGUGCCAAUUCAUAAGUCUGGAGAAAUGCAUCAAGAGUACGAGAAACAAAAGAUGAAGGGUGGAGGAAGUGAAGAAACUGAAGAGAGGAAGAAAAAAAUCCACAGAAAAGAAGAGUGUGGGAUGCUGAAACAUUGUCAAUAUCCUUUUACCGUGUUUCAGUUCUGUGGAGUGUCCGACUCUGAGAAUGAAGAGCCGGUGGGAAAGAGGACCCGACAUGUUUCAGCAUUUGUGCGAAAAACAAGAUGCUCCCCUGCUUUCAAUAGAGGUUGUCUUCAUAGCAGUGCUGUCCAGAGGAGCAGGAGCUGUACAGAUUCGGAGGAUGGAAGAGGAAAAAGCAGAGGUCACGCACAUCAUGCCGUUCCUGACAAGGUGUUAUUCAUCUUGGUGGAAACCCUGGAUCAGCGUGGGAUUGGUGACUCCGGGAC
rnacentral:lncRNA from 1 species